UGCAGAGAGAGCACCAGUUACAUUUCCGCAGCAUCAGCUGGAACCUCAGCAACCCGGAGCUCACAUCCUCGGAGUACACCGCCCUGCAGAGAGACACCCAGGACCAGGUCACCAAGCUCUACAGAGGCAGCCAGCUGUGAGACAUAUUCCACUCCUGCCUGGUCACCGACUUGAUAAUAUACUCCCAACAGAGAUGACACCUUGAUUGUGAAGCCUGGUAAGCCUGCAGGAAGCCCCAGCCCAGGGUA